UCAUAAAACAGUAUGCUAGUUAUUAUUUUAAAUAUCUGCAGUACCACUUCAGCUAACGUCGCUUUUCUUUGAACGAUAGAAAAAUACCCAAAUCAUUAUUAUAUUUUAAGUUUCCUCAAUUUCUGCAAUCUAACAAUAUAUGGCAAUAGACUAAAACUUAUAGCAAUUUUCAGUGCGGCCGAUGAGUAAGGACUAAGGCCGAGUCAUGCAUUAUCCAACAUUUUUACACUCAAGAGAAAUAAAUCCCUUAGUGGUAGUAUUUGGCAGAUUUCGAAAUGCUGGUCUUGUCUCACAUGUCACCUGAAUAGUUUUAAUGAGUGAUAGUACGGUCAAAGAAUUUAAUUUCAGUACCAUUUCGUACCUUGUCACAGUGACAACAUGCAACUCGCUAGAGAUCUCAUACUAUUGUCACUGUGACAAGGUACGAAAUGGGUCACAAAUUAAAUUCUUUGACUGUACCAAUUAACCAUAAAAUAAUCAAUAAAAUCAAUACCUAAACUGUUGUUACCUCAGUGAACUUUAAUAAGUCAGUUUAGUAACUUUCAUGGAUGAUUCUUGUAAUGAUGUACGCUUUUAUCCUACUGAAUAAUUUCCCGACGUCAUAAUUGGAGUUAAACUUUUCCCGGCGUCAUAAUUGAAAGUUAGUACUGCGGUGGCAGAAUGGUUGCACUUUUAUCACCUGUCACUAUGCCUAUCACUUUCGCACUUACAUACUUGUUAGAACGUGACCUUUUAUCAACACUCGUGCGCUUAUCACUGUUGCCGCCCAUUGAGCAAUUAGAUGAGAUUACAGAUAGUCGGGACUUACUCAACGUUAUGUGCUCGUCGUGUUUCGUCACCACUUAAAGCCUGCGACGACCGAACUUCAAAUUGUGUCUAUUUCAUUUAACUUUCAGAGUCGAUACAUUUAUUGUAUUUACCCAACUGGAUUAGUGGCCACUACGCCAUAUAAUAACCGUGGCAUUGAAACGAAUAGUUACGAAUAUAUGGAGCGUCGGUAGUGGCGGUCAAUAUUGGUCUCGUAAUCCAGCUGUGACAGUGGGUCGACUUUCAAAGUAAAGGUCGUGGGUCCAAAACCUGGCUCGUACCAAUGAUCGUUGGAACUUGAACCUAACUUGUAUAAGAAUCGAACUAAUCCCUACACGGUCUUGGUUUUCGUACUGGCUUGUGAGAUGAGAUGCAAGUUGCUUUCGUAAUUAUAAUGGAAUUGGUUCCAGCAUGGAUCAAUUCUUAGACUUUGGUUUCAAACCAAUCUAAGGUUUUGUUAGGAAGGAUGGGCAGUUGUAAAUGACGAAGAGUAUCGCUUAUAACCACAGUUAGCCGGAACAAACCCUCUCAAGCCCAAUCUAUUACGUAACACAGGCUCUGUAGGAGCCAGUUGUCGCGAGACAGCCGACCGAGUCGCGAAUUAGCUGGCCUCGGCCUUUUCAUCUCACCGCAUACACUAAGGCUUCCAGCCGACUACUGAUAUGUUACACUAAACUAAACGAACACUCAUGCCACUUAGAAACGAUGAUGCAAAGAUACAGUUAGACUAAGCUAAGUUUGCGUGGCAUUUGCCUUCCCUCAGGACUAUCGGCAUUGGCUCCCGUUCUGUGUCAAAGUUAAAUUGGCCGGACUAUUUUGUGUACAAUUUCAGCACUUAGAACUACAGUAGGAAUAAGGUAGAUAUUUGAAUGAAGAAGGGGGUAAAAUUAUUGUUUUCAUAGAUUUCUGAAAUCAUUAACACGUUAAGUAAAUAAUAUGUCCUAAGUACUUUAUUAUCUACUCACUACAUGUCGAUUUAUGACGAGUCAUUCCCUUAACGACAUUUUAAAGGACAAGUAAUCUGUCUCCGUGCGCUCUCAGUGUACUCCGAACUCAUAAAGAGACACAAAAGGCAGUGUUUCCUCUCGGAAAUGUGCUUCCGUUAUUACUGGCGUGACUCCCAGAAUAUCCCCCAAGCGUAAGCUUAUUUGUUGACAUCGUUACCAUCAACUGCACUAUUGUAUAGAUUUACAUACUUUAUUAUUUUUCGUGACAAUUCGGGUAUAUUGGUGAGUAGAUAAAGUUGAUAUAAUAAUAAUUUACUAUGGCACUUACUUAUAAUGAUAUUUAAAAAGUUGCGGUUACAACAGUAAAAUUAUUAUUUAAACAUGGGGGUAACAGAUUUUGUAUAAGCCCCAUUUAGGCGAUUCAAGAAAAAGCUUGUGAUUUUCGUUCAUUGCGGAAUUUGAUCAAUCGACAUCGACUGAAUUCAUUGUACUCUGUAGUGAGCAAUGUAUCGAAUAUUAGAUGCAACUUUUUGAAUCGUCUAAAUGCGCUUUACGCUUGCAUUGAUUGUCUGAAAUAAUUUUAAAUUGGGGGCAACAUGUGUGACAAGUGAUCACACUACAAAUAUUGGUGUAAUGAGUAGACAGCUAGUGUAGUCUAGAAUAGGUUAAUUAUACUACCUUUAUUAGUUACCAGUAGUAGAUUUUAUUUAUUUAUUUAAACUUUAUUGCACGAUAUAAAAUUGUACAAACGGCGGACUUAAAGCCUUCGGCAUCCUCUACCAGUCAACCAUUGGGUCAAACAGAAACAUGCAGGAUUGUACACAACGAGAGGGAAUAUGAAACACAAAUCAAGUUAUUCUAAACAAUACAACAAUAUGUUAUUUAUACACUUACACUACACAUAUAAAAAUAAUAGCAAAAUAUACCUACAUAUAUACACAACAUACAUACAUAUAUACAAAUAAAUAUAUAUUAAGUAUUAUGUACCCAAGUAUACAAGUAACAUGCGGAUCAUUUAUUAACUUUGAGCGUGUAGGAGAGGUGCUUACGAAACUGGUAUUUAAAAGAAAAUUUGCUCUGUGCUUGCCUUAAGGGAAGAGGGAGAUCAUUCCAAAGGCGAAUUGUCUGAAGAUGAUGGGGAACGCAACUCACAACCGGGACGUGGUGCUACAAAAUUAAAUUUAGACUAAAGAUACUCUGGAGCAGCUGGAUCAAAUAAUAUAGAAUAAAGGGUGCAAAAAAUUCUUAGAGACCUGCGUUCACGGAUGGGAAGCCAGUUCAAUUUGCGGCAGAAGGCCGAUACAUGAUCGAAUUUACACAGCCCAAAUAUAAACCUAAUACAACUAGUAGCCUGUCUAGUUUGUUGAGUAAGUCCUGGCUAAUAUUACAGUAACACACAUCUGCAUAAUCAAUCACAGGCAACACCAAUGUCUGAAUAAGGACAGUUUUUGUGCUAACUGGGAGAAAGUACUUGAACUUAUAGAGAGAUCUCGAAAUGUUGGUCACUUUGCGACUAACGUCAGACAUCUGGGAGGUCCAAGUCAAACCACAGUCAACAAUCAGUCCAAGGUUUUUCACGUCAGACUGAAACGGAACUUCAUUAUUUUAGAAUUUAAUCGGAUCUAAGAGCAUGAUGUCAAGUAAAGACAGCAAACGUGGGAUACCCAGUAUAAUGGCCUGACACUUGUUGGGGUUGGCAGAAAUCCCAAAGUUGCGAGGCCACGCAGAUAUGCUUUCUAGGUCAUUAUUUAUUUUCUGGAUUGCUUGAUCUAAGGUACUUGGGCUUGCUUGGGUAUAAAGUUGCAGAUCGUCGGCGUACAGGUGAGGUGAGGUAGAUUUUGAAUAGCAAAGGAGAAUAAAUUAAGUAGGUAUCUAUUGGUAAAUAAUUUAACAUUUUUAUGUGAUCUAACCCACAUACAAUUGUCUAUUAAAUGCAACAAGCAACAAGUCCAUCGAGUUUGAAAAAUACUAUAGCAAUAAUUUGGUUUAAGCUAUUGCUCAAUGUCAACUUUACUGAUUUUUUUAGCUCACGAGGCUUUCCUCGCAAGAAAAGCAAACUCGUUACCCAUACCUACAUGGAAUACUAAACUUCUACAGAAUUGUAUUAUUUAGAAAUUCUAUCAAAGAAUUGUUAAUUGUUAUGCCUAUUAUAGGUGAGGUGCCUAUUAUAAAAUACGUGGAUGCAAAAAAAUGUAUUUAACUAAGUGACUGAAAUGAAUACUCGCCUUCAAAUAUUUUUCGUGUCUUUGGACUUAUAUUAUUGAUUGAAUGGAAUUUUAAAAAAAACUAGUCGGGGCUAAAACUUUUUUAGUAGGUAUGGGUUAAGGUAUGCGUCUUUCCUACGGACAUCAUUGAAUAAAUGUACAUCAAAGGAAUAAUUAUGUUCUUAAUGUGUUUGUUGAUUAGAGCAAAUACAAGAGAACGAACACCAGGAAAGUCUACACACCUCAGGUGAUUAGAUAAGUAGAAGAAAAUUAUCAAAAUGGUGUAACCGAGAAGCAAUAUAAAAACUCAUAUUCACACUUGUUUAUGUCAUUAUAUUGCUUAUUAAUCUACAGUUAACUAUAACUAUUGAUUAAUUAUGUAUAGAUGAGACCUACAGAUUUUACUAAACUGUAUAGUAAAUAUAUCCCCUUUAAAAUGAAAUUUAUACCUGUUCAUAUCUGCACAAUGGUAGCAGAGUCGGCACCAUCCGUGUGCCCACUUUCGCGAGCGUGCCGGUGGAGAACUGUGCGCGCCACGACGACGAUGAUCUCGGUCUGCUGCUGACCAUCCUAGUUCCCACCACCAGGAACAAGGGGCUACAACUGCUGCCGCGUCGAGAACACCUACAACCCAGUACCUUAUCCUAUACCUAUACCGACACAUAGUACAAUUAUUGCAUCUAAGGUGUUUAGCUACGACUGUGACAAAGAAGAAGAAUCCGAUGUCAGGUCCAGCGGCAGCAAAUCUAGUAGCGAGGCUGAAGCGUCACCGCGCCAAGCGUCAAGCGCCACCGAUGGCGCGGGGAGCAAAGGGGGCACGGGGGCAGCGGCACGUCCCCCUCGUCUAGUCAGGCCACACAAGUCAUUAAUAUCAACACUUGCGAUUGCGACGAAAGACGAUCAUGAACAUGAAUCCUAGCUGCCAUAUUUGAAUUUUUACGCAUUCAUUUUUAUAGUAAACAGCCCUGUUGGCUUCCUUGUUACUUAUUUCAUUUGUUAAACUACUUACUACAUAAAAAAGAAUUAUAUGUAUAAAUCAAGCUGAUGUAGCUCAAACGCAAUACUGUGUAGAGAUUUUUAUUUCUUUUUGUUUUAUAUCAGGGCUUAACGUUAGUAGUUAGGUAGAGCAAAGCGGAGCACUGGUGAAGAAAGCGGUUUUAAGGUAUACCAUUUUGACACCGAGGAAAUUUAAAUAUUAUUAAUACACACAAUACACAUAUAAUAAUAAUAAGUUAAACAUACAUACUUAAACAUUCAUGCAUGUCAACGGUAACUCAUUUAUGAAUAAAACAUUUCUUUCACUUUC